GCAUUGCAGGGAGGGCACAAGGUGCAAAUGUACCCCACUGCCCCGGGUGUGUCUGAGCCUUAGCAGUGCCUUCAAAUUCCUUCAGGCUAUGUGAUCUUCAUCACCAGCUUCUCUUCAGUGCUUCCUGCUAGCCCAGCCAUCCACCAUCUCCUGAAAGAGCAACUCUAGGGGCUCAUCCGCAUGGGAAUUUAAUGUGGAUUUGAAGCUACAUGUGCCUUGAUUUGGGGGCGUUGUCCACAUGAUGUUCUCCCCCAUUCAACUGACAGCCUACGGUUCUUCAACGCUAAACUUGGAUUUUUAUGAUCAAGGUGAAAUCCAAAAUGGGAGAGUAAUUUCAAUAUAAAAUUGUUUGUUUCCUGA